rnacentral:rRNA from 1 species
UACGGGGGGGGCAAGCGUUGUUCGGAAUUACUGGGCGUAAAGGGCGCGUAGGCGGCCUGCUAAGUCGGGUGUGAAAACUCUGGGCUCAACCCAGGAACUGCACUCGAAACUACUUUUCUUGAGUGCCGGAGAGGAAAGCGGAAUUCCUGGUGUAGAGGUGAAAUUCGUAGAUAUCAGGAGGAACACCAGUGGCGAAGGCGGCUUUCUGGACGGUAACUGACGCUGAGACGCGAAAGCGUGGGGAGCAAACAGG